UACGGGGGGGGCAAGCGUUGUUCGGAAUUACUGGGCGUAAAGGGCUCGUAGGUGGCCAACUAAGUCAGACGUGAAAUCCCUCGGCUUAACCGGGGAACUGCGUCUGAUACUGGAUGGCUUGAGUUUGGGAGAGGGAUGCGGAAUUCCAGGUGUAGCGGUGAAAUGCGUAGAUAUCUGGAGGAACACCGGUGGCGAAGGCGCCGCUCUGGGCCGAAACUGACGCUGAGGAGCGAAAGCGUGGGUAGCAAACAGG
rnacentral:rRNA from 1 species